CCUACGGGACGCAGCAGUGGGGAAUAUUGCACAAUGGGGGGAACCCUGAUGCAGCGACGCCGCGUGGGUGAAGGAGUAUUUCGGUAUGUAAAGCCCUAUCAGCAGGGAAGAAAAUGACGGUACCUGACUAAGAAGCCCCGGCUAAAUACGUGCCAGCAGCCGCGGUAAUACGUAUGGGGCAAGCGUUAUCCGGAUUUACUGGGUGUAAAGGGAGCGUAGGCGGCCUGGCAAGCCUGAUGUGAAAUACCGGGGCCCAACCCCGGGGCUGCAUUGGGAACUGCCAGGCUGGAGUGCCGGAGAGGCAG
rnacentral:rRNA from 1 species